rnacentral:snoRNA from 1 species
CUGCACUGCUCAGAGCCCGGCUGGUCUUUCCCUGACCUCCUUGGUCUCGGUCUGGUGCAAGAUAAAAUUCCUUCUAGCAGAAGGGCCAGGCUCUUGUCAUGAGCUGUCCCUUUCGAAAGAUGGGUACAAAC